UUAUUGCUAGCUUAGUCAGUAGAGCAUAAUAUUCUUAAUCUCAGGAUUGUGGGUUUGAGUCCCAUUCUGUGCA